AUGCUGCUACAAGUUUGGCAAACUCGAGGAAAGAGAAGUUGCUCAAAAAGGACGAGAAGGAACACCACGGAAGGAGCAAAAUAUCCGCGCCUCUGCAGCCGCGAAACAGAUCGGACUAAAUCCAGAGAACAGAUUAAAAAAAUCGAAAAAAAGCACCGCCGGGUUCUCGCCGUCGUCGUCGUCCUAUUCGAAACCCAGGGGAGAUUUGAGCACUUGAAUCGCGGUGGAAUGAGCGUUCAAGACCACCAAAAUGCACAGGAGCGUACAGAGAGAGAGAGAGAUGGAGGAGCAGGUGAACAGAGGGGGAAAUUUUACCCUGCGGAGCAAAAAGGGAAGAAGCAGACGAGAAAGAGGCGACGAACCAUACCACAAUCGACCAAUCGCGAAACGCACCACCAUCCCUCACACGAAUCAGAGCAGAAGGAUCCCACCGAACCCACCGAACCAGAGAGCCCGUAA
rnacentral:rRNA from 1 species